UACGUAGGCAGCGAGCGUUGUUCGGAGUUACUGGGCGUAAAGGGUGUGUAGGCGGUUGUUUAAGUUUGGUGUGAAAUCUCCCGGCUCAACUGGGAGGGUGCGCCGAAUACUGAGCGACUAGAGUGCGGGAGAGGAAAGUGGAAUUCCUGGUGUAGCGGUGAAAUGCGUAGAUAUCAGGAGGAACACCGGUGGUGUAGACGGCUUUCUGGGCCCUACCUGACGCUGAGACGCGAAAGCGUGGGGAGCGAACCGG
rnacentral:rRNA from 1 species